GAUGAACGCUGGCGGCGUGCCUAAUACAUGCAAGUCGAGCGAACAGACGAGGAGCUUGCUCCUCUGACGUUAGCGGCGGACGGGUGAGUAACACGUGGAUAACCUACCUAUAAGACUGGGAUAACUUCGGGAAACCGGAGCUAAUACCGGAUAAUAUAUUGAACCGCAUGGUUCAAUAGUGAAAGACGGUUUUGCUGUCACUUAUAGAUGGAUCCGCGCCGCAUUAGCUAGUUGGUAAGGUAACGGCUUACCAAGGCGACGAUGCGUAGCCGACCUGAGAGGGUGAUCGGCCACACUGGAACUGAGACACGGUCCAGACUCCUACGGGAGGCAGCAGUAGGGAAUCUUCCGCAAAGGGCGAAAGCCUGACGGAGCUACGCCGCGUGAGUGAUGAAGGUCUUCGGAUCGUAAAACUCUGUUAUUAGGGAAGAACAAAUGUGUAAGUAACUAUGCACGUCUUGACGGUACCUAAUCAGAAAGCCACGGCUAACUACGUG
rnacentral:rRNA from 1 species